UCCGGGGUGGGGUAAUCGGAAGCCCGGGUCACUUUGGAUGAUCAGGAGGAGGUUCGAAUCCUCCCCCCGGAA
rnacentral:tRNA from 1 species